rnacentral:rRNA from 1 species
GACGAACGCUGGCGGCGUGCUUAACACAUGCAAGUCGAACGGUGAUGCUCCAGCUUGCUGGAGUGGAUCAGUGGCGAACGGGUGAGUAACACGUGAGCAACCUGCCCCAGACUCUGGAAUAAGCGCUGGAAACGGCGUCUAAUACUGGAUACGAAACUGGCCCGCAUGGGCAUGGUUUGGAAAGUUUUUCGGUUUGGGAUGGGCUCGCGGCCUAUCAGCUUGUUGGUGAGGUAAUGGCUCACCAAGGCGACGACGGGUAGCCGGCCUGAGAGGGCGACCGGCCACACUGGGACUGAGACACGGCCCAGACUCCUACGGGAGACAGCAGUGGGGAAUAUUGCACAAUGGGCGAAAGCCUGAUGCAGCGACGCCGCGUGAGGGAUGACGGCCUUCGGGUUGUAAACCUCUUUCAGCAGGGAAGAAGCGAAAGUGACGGUACCUGCAGAAGAAGCACCGGCUAACUACGUG